AACCUUGGUUUCUUUUUGUUUGUUUUGAUAUCUAGUGGCUCCAGAAAGCAGCAGAAUGAGAAUUGCCUGUGUCCCUGUGAAUGUCCAGAGCAAAGAGGUGGGUCUUAAGAAGCUGCUUUAGACAGAAAAACAGACAGUACUGGAAUGAAAGUCCCCAAGGUAAUUGAUUAGUUGUCCCCACUGACUGAAGCUAUCCACCGUGGAUUGAA
rnacentral:lncRNA from 1 species